CCUACGGGUGACAGCAGUGAGGAAUAUUGGUCAAUGGACGAGAGUCUGAACCAGCCAAGUAGCGUGAAGGAUGACUGCCCUAUGGGUUGUAAACUUCUUUUAUAUGGGAAUAAAAUGUUCCACGUGUGGGAUUUUGUAUGUACCAUAUGAAUAAGGAUCGGCUAACUCCGUGCCAGCAGCCGCGGUAAUACGGAGGAUCCGAGCGUUAUCCGGAUUUAUUGGGUUUAAAGGGAGCGUAGGUGGAUUGUUAAGUCAGUUGUGAAAGUUUGCGGCUCAACCGUAAAAUUGCAGUUGAAACUGGCAGUCUUGAGUACAGUAGAGGUGGGCGGAAUUCGUGGUGUAGCGGUGAAAUGCUUAGAUAUCACGAAGAACUCCGAUUGCGAAGGCAGUUCACUGGACUGCAACUGACACUGAGGCUCGAAAGUGUGGGUAUCAAACAGGAUUAAAUACCCGAGUAGUC
rnacentral:rRNA from 1 species